rnacentral:rRNA from 1 species
UACGUAGGUGGCAAGCGUUAUCCGGAUUUAUUGGGCGUAAAGGGAACGCAGGCGGUCUUCUAAGUCUGAUGUGAAAGCCUUCGGCUUAACCGGAGUAGUGCAUUGGAAACUGGGAGACUUGAGUGCAGAAGAGGAGAGUGGAACUCCAUGUGUAGCGGUGAAAUGCGUAGAUAUAUGGAAGAACACCAGUGGCGAAAGCGGCUCUCUGGUCUGUAACUGACGCUGAGGUUCGAAAGCGUGGGUAGCAAACAGG